GUCUCCGACUCAGACCGCAUCUCUGUUUGAGAAGUUGGGUUCGGCUAUCACUAGGUCGGCCGCCCGGCGAGAAGCAAACGAGCCCAGAUUCGCCGCCGCUGUCCACUCCCCGCCGAGGCGCCGUCCAGCGAGCCACCGGUGUUCCGCUCCGACUCCGAUGGCCAUGGGCACAUCUCCUCGGCUCUACCGCCGGCUCAGGAAGGCCUCCGAUAUCUCUGCCGUCAGCACCACCGCCUCCUCGCCGCUCAAACGAAUGCAUAUGAGCAAGGAACACAACAGUUGCUGUGAGGACAGAAUCAGCAACUUACCUGAUGAUAUACUGAUCAUGAUCCUUGACAAGCUAGAUGCACGCACAACAAUAACCACCAUUAUCCUUUCGAAGCGGUGGAAGGAUCUUCCUCGACGAUCACACACAUCUUAUGACCUUUCCAGUGAUGAAUUUCUCCCUCCACGCUACCACAGGCUGAAGAAAAUGUCCGUGGAGGCUAAGGCCGGGUACGAGGCAGAGAAGAAAGCUCAGAAUUUGACCGACAUUUAUCCUGACCGGUACGAACGGCUUGGCGCUGUCAGAGACCGUUACCAGCGGUGGAUGGGGAAGGUCCAUCUGCUCACUCCAAUCCUGCGACGUUAUGAGCGUCAGGCCAUGCGGUGCUAUGUUAAACGGGUGAAUGCAUUCCUUCUGGAUCCCAACAAUGUCAGAAACGGUCUAUCCAGAAGCUGAGGCUUCAAACAUGUGGGAAGAGCAGUUUCAUUGAUCAAUGGAUUACGGCAGCGAUUGGCAGAUGGGGUGUUGCAGAUUUGGAGCUUGUCAUUGACAACUUUGGCUGGCACUAUGACUUCGGGCUAUUGAGUGGAUUGGAGAAUAUCCAGUUGAAACGGCUUGUGCUAUCCAAUUGCUAUCAUACCGGUUCACACUACCCUUUGGUGUUUCAGAGGCUCACAACACUCAUUCUGUGCAAAGGAAGUGCGAGUAUUACACGCGUUUGCGAUAUUAUGAGAAACUGUACACAACUGGUUGAUUUGAGGCUGAAAAAUUCUAGUUAUCCCCAAGGUGCUUUUCAUAUCUAUGUUGCAACAUCGAAGUUAAAGAAUCUCCAAUUGGACAACUGCAACAUUGGGAAAAUCUAUCUAACUUCGCUGCCUUGUCUUGAAACAUUUGCUUGUCGCGGUCAGCCAACCAAACUAUACUAUGGUGAGAUGCCUCGACUCAUGCAUGUGAGUCUGGACUUCUUGCAAACUGGCGGUAAUGGCGAGGAUGAUUCCUCCGGUAGCAACAUGACAUAUCCACUAAGCAAAUUCUUCAAAGGGAUGCCACCACCGCUACAGUACCUUGUUCUGCAAUUUAGAGGGCGUCAGAUGUGGAUUGAACCAACCAUCACUCACAACCAGUUCAAUCUUCUCAAGAAGUUGUUGAUUGCAAACAUGCCAAUGAACUGGGAUACGUUCUGGAUUCUCAUCCUACUUGGUGCCGCACCUGCCUUGGAGUCACUCUAUGUCCAUAUAUGUCAUUUAUCGACCAAAUAAUCUAAUAACUAUUUCUUUGCCAAACACAUAAUUUUCGGUUUUGAAAGAUUUCCAUAACCAUGUAUUCUGAAACUCUGAAUACAGAUUGACAAUGAUUCAGAGGAGACGAGUGUUGGAUCACAAGAUGUGCAAGUGGAACACAGGCAGCACCAUCACCUGAAAGAACUGGUGGUCGUCGGCUUCGACGGAAUGGGAUGGCAGACAGGCUUUGUGAAGCAGAUCAUGAUCGCGUCACCAAGGCUGAGGCGCGUCCAUCUGCUUGAUGGGCACGUCGUUGAACACGAAGAACGGGAGUUCGGGGACCUGGUGAUAGUGCCACGCCAGCGGGAGUGGCAUGAGUGCGAGAGAUCGGAGGUGCUCGAAGAACUUGCAGAGGGGAUCAGCAUGGCACAUCUCGAAAUAGUUUUAGAAUGACCUCUGAUAAGUUCCUUGUGCUGUUGUGUGGCCUCACCGUAUCCUGUAGAUGCAACGACGUCUAAUUAUGCUGGCUUAAAAGAAAGGAGAACGUGAUUCAUAUGGGCAUCUCGUGCUUUACUUUGCUUGAUAAUGCAAAGAUAUGUGGCUAGCUGUUCA